UACGUAGGGUGCAAGCGUUUGUCCGGAAUUAUUGGGCGUAAAGAGCUUGUAGGCGGUUUGUCGCGUCUGCUGUGAAAUUUCGGGGCUCAACCCCGAACUUGCAGUGGGUACGGGCAGACUAGAGUGUGGUAGGGGAGACUGGAAUUCCUGGUGUAGCGGUGAAAUGCGCAGAUAUCAGGAGGAACACCGGUGGCGAAGGCGGUGGUCUGGGCCGGCACUGACGCUGAGGAGCGAAAGCGUGGGGAGCGAACAGG
rnacentral:rRNA from 1 species